UGGUUCUCGCAUCGAUGAAGAACGCAGCGAAUUGCGAUAUGUAAUGUGAAUUGCAGAAUUCAGUGAAUCAUCGAAUCUUUGAACGCACCUCGCGCCCUUUGGUAUUCCGAAGGGCAUGCCUGUUUGAGUAUCAUUAAUAUUCUCACUCUUGAUUUUCUUGCAAAGCCGAGACGUGGAGUUUGGAGUUUGCAGGCCUUUACUGGUCAGCUUCUCUUACAUGCAUUAGCGGAACUCUAUGCAGUACCGGCCUCGGUUUGAUAAUCCUAUCUAUGCUGUCGCUGGAUGCUGUGCUGUUUGGCUUACAAUUGUCCUUUAUGGACUGUUGCUUUUGCAGCAAAAUACCAAAGCUUGAUCUCAAAUCAGGUAGGGCUACCCGCUGA
rnacentral:misc_RNA from 1 species